rnacentral:snRNA from 1 species
AUCACUUCUCGGCCUUUUGGCUAAGAUCAAGUGUAGAAUCUGUUUGUAUCAGUUUAAUAAGUAGAACAGGAGAAACUUAA